rnacentral:precursor_RNA from 12 species
CCAUGCACAAGAUGUGUCUUCCUCUGGAAGCUGGUUUCACAUGGUGGCUUAGAUUUUCCCACUUUGUAUCUAGCACCAUUUGAAAUCAGUGUUCUAGGAGCAAGAAUUACAGCGUGGGAGGAG